CGCCAGGGGACUACAAGCACUAGCUUAAAACCCAAAGGACUUGGCGUACUUCAACCCCCCUAGAGGAGCCUGUUCUUUAACCGAUAACCCCCGUUUGACCUCACCACCCCUUGUCAUCCCCGCCUAUAUACCGCCGUCGCCAGCUUACCCCCCCCAGUGUCCCACAGUAAGCAUAAUAGACACAACCUAAGACGUCAGGUCGAGGUGUAGCGCACGCAGUGGAUAAAAAUAGGCUACAUUUCCUACAUCAGGACACCGCGAAAGGUGCCAUGAAACUAGCACCCGAAGCUGAAUUUAGUAGUAAGAAGAGAACAGAGCGCUCUCCUAAA
rnacentral:rRNA from 1 species